rnacentral:piRNA from 1 species
UGAGACUUUAUCACACCUUGGCCU